rnacentral:misc_RNA from 1 species
AAGUCGUAACAAGGUUUCCGUAGGUGAACCUGCGGAAGGAUCAUUAACACGUAUCCAAACGUUAAAACCCCCCCCGUGAACCUUCAUCCUGCUCUUUUAACCCGCGUAGUUCGCAAUCUCUGAUAAAUCAUAGCCCGGAAAGUUGUAGUGAUUCAAGGACCUCUGGCUACGUGCGAACAUUGGAACAGUUACAAUCGGAUAGCGCUUCUACGAUUCCUGUAGACCGUACACUCGGGCAGGAGCUUUGCCAAAGGGUCCCCAUGCCCCCUAAUAACCCCACAGUUUAAUGUGAAGCUCAAUGUAAUACAUUGGGUAAAAAAACCGAACAACUGUUAACAAUGGAUAUCUUGGUUCUC